UACGUAGGUGGCAAGCGUUGUCCGGAAUCAUUGGGCGUAAAGCGCGUUUAGGCGGUCCGGUAAGUCCGCUGUGAAAGUCGGGGGCUCAACCCUCGGAUGCCGGUGGAUACUGUCGGGCUUGAGUACGGAAGAGGCGAGUGGAAUUCCUGGUGUAGCGGUGAAAUGCGCAGAUAUCAGGAGGAACACCAAUUGCGAAGGCAGCUCGCUGGGACGUUACUGACGCUGAGACGCGAAAGCGUGGGGAGCAAACAGG
rnacentral:rRNA from 1 species